UUAAGAUUUUAUAACUCUUGGGGCAUGAUGAAUGCCAGGCACAAAUAUGAAUAGACUCCCGCUACGUUCGCAUUCGGUCAUGGCUAGGCCGACAUUGAUUUUCAUCGUGUAUAUAUGGUAUGAAUAUUACUAUAUAUAUAUUCUUAAUAAAUAUUAAAAAAAAAAAAAAAUUGUUGUUUAUUCCUUACAGUUGAAUUAAUAUCAUAUGGCUUUAAUUCAGGUAAGUGAUUUAUUUAAAAGUUUUGUCACUCACAAAUUGAGUAAUUUUAAUAAUUUUGGUUUCAGCGUCGACAGGAAUUGAAAAUUAUGUUCUUCAAUGGGAAAAAAAACGUAAAUAAAAAUAAUCUUUAUAAUAAAGUUAAAUUAACUUUAUCUAUGUAUAUGAAAUAUAUAACUAUAACUAUUAUGCAAUUUUAAUUUAAAACACUGAACAAUCUGGAAAUAGGCUGCUUUCGUAAUAUAUAUGAAUACAAAAUAAAAGAAUAUUUAGAGCAAUUCUUUUUAUUUAUCACAUGAACCAGCGAUUAUUUACGGACAAUUUGAGUAAAUUUGAAUUAUUUUUUUUCCUUCGUCAUAGGAAUAUUCAAUCAUUGAAUCUAAUCAACAAUAUUUUAAAAAUUACACUUUCCUUGUUUCGUAUACUAUAACAAUAUUUGGCUUUCAAAUAACCAUGUUUUGGGAUGAAAUCCCCGUAGAAUCACAGAGGAAAUGCUGAAAACCACUGAGAGCAAUGCUUUUUUACGUCGAGACGUCGAGAAAAACCUAUUAUCACAUUCUCUCUGAUGUCGACCCAGGACCUGACCGCGUUGAUCGUCGACUUUUCGACUUUUCUAAAAUUGUGUUAAUCUGCAGAAAGAUCUCUCUUGAUUUUUGUUUCAAAUCUGUCAUCAGUUACUUUUUAGUACUUUUUAGUUUAGGUCUCCUGUAGUCACUCAUUGAAUAAAAAUAGUCAUGAUAUCGAUAGCAUCAAGGUGCUAUCAAUUUGUAUUCGGGUAGUGAUUGGUAGUAACAGUAACCUGUUGACCAAAUUUAAAAGUCCAGAUACCAGUAUCGGUGACGUCAACAUUGCUGGAAACGAUGACAGAAUUAUCUUUAACUUCAAGUACUGCAGGGGAGAUCGCAUAGAUUACAUCAUCAAAGGUAGCUGUGGCAUUGAGAUCUAGGACCUUAUACAGCACUAAGUAAAACAACCUGGAAACUAAAACUUGAUACUAAAGAGUAAAAAAAAAAAAUGUUCUAAGGGAAAUUGUAUGAAGAUAAUUUUAAAUAUAAAUAUAAGUUUCUAAGUAUUUCUUAGUAUAAAGUGAAAUAUAACAUAGUUAUUUUAGGGAAGUUUAACUGCAAUAUUUUCCCCGUGAUUCUAGUGAUAUUAAAAAUAAAAACAUUUUUUUGGUAAAAAUAAAAAAUGUAUGUAUCAAAGGGUUAACUCAUAUAAUAAAAUAAUCACUGGUUCAUAAUAAUACUAAUAUGUGUUAUGGACUAAUAUGUGUUAAAUACCUAUUAUAUAAGACAUCUAUUUAUUUUUUUCAAUUAUUUAGAAACUAAUUCAAAAUCCAUUUCAUUAAAAGG
rnacentral:lncRNA from 1 species